rnacentral:rRNA from 1 species
UACGUAGGGACCAAGCGUUGUCCGGAAUCAUUGGGCGUAAAGAGCGUGUAGGCGGCUUGUUAAGUCUUGCGUGAAAUCUCGGGGCUCAACCCCGAGCGGUCGUGAGAAACUGGCAGGCUAGAGUGCGGGGAGAGGAGAGUGGAAUUCCUGGUGUAGCGGUGAAAUGCGCAGAUAUCAGGAAGAACACCCGUGGCGAAGGCGGCUCUCUGGAACGCAACUGACGCUGAGACGCGAAAGCGUGGGGGAGCAAACAGG